UACCAGCUCUCCGAGUGGUAGGGAUGUUUAUUGGGCUUAAAGCGUCCGUAGCCGGCUUAGCAAGUCUCCUGUUAAAUUCAGCGACCUAAUCGUUGAGCCGCGGGAGAUACUACUAGGCUAGGAGGCGGGAGAGGUCGACGGUACUUCUGGGGUAGGGGUGAAAUCCUAUAAUCCCAGGAGGACCACCAGUGGCGAAGGCUGUUGACUAGAACGCGCUCGACGGUGAGGGACGAAAGCUGGGGGAGCGAAC
rnacentral:rRNA from 1 species